rnacentral:ncRNA from 1 species
CGUGCUUCCCAGGGGUGGCCAAUCGGAUGAGCGGCCUGAGAUCGCAAUCCCGCGAAUCCCUUUGAACCUGAUCCGGCCCCCCUUUUUGAUGCUGAAAUUGGCAUCCCGAAGAAGACCGGCGUAGGGAGAGGUCCAUGAACAAGC